UAGAGUUUGAUCCUGGCUCAGGAUGAACGCUGGCGGCGUGCCUAAUACAUGCAAGUCGAGCGAAUGGAAAAAGAGCUUGCUCUUAUGAAGUUAGCGGCGGACGGGUGAGUAACACGUGGGUAACCUGCCCAUAAGACUGGGAUAACUCCGGGAAACCGGGGCUAAUACCGGAUAACAUUUUGAACCGCAUGGUUCGAAAUUGAAAGGCGGCUUCGGCUGUCACUUAUGGAUGGACCCGCGUCGCAUUAGCUAGUUGGUGAGGUAACGGCUCACCAAGGCAACGAUGCGUAGCCGACCUGAGAGGGUGAUCGGCCACACUGGGACUGAGACACGGCCCAGACUCCUACGGGAGGCAGCAGUAGGGAAUCUUCCGCAAUGGACGAAAGUCUGACGGAGCAACGCCGCGUGAGUGAUGAAGGCUUUCGGGUCGUAAAACUCUGUUGUUAGGGAAGAACAAGUGCUAGUUGAAUAAGCUGGCACCUUGACGGUACCUAACCAGAAAGCCACGGCUAACUACGUGCCAGCAGCCGCGGUAAUACGUAGGUGGCAAGCGUUAUCCGGAAUUAUUGGGCGUAAAGCGCGCGCAGGUGGUUUCUUAAGUCUGAUGUGAAAGCCCACGGCUCAACCGUGGAGGGUCAUUGGAAACUGGGAGACUUGAGUGCAGAAGAGGAAAGUGGAAUUCCAUGUGUAGCGGUGAAAUGCGUAGAGAUAUGGAGGAACACCAGUGGCGAAGGCGACUUUCUGGUCUGUAACUGACACUGAGGCGCGAAAGCCUGGGGAGCAAACAGGAUUAGAUACCCUGGUAGUCCACGCCGUAACGAUGAGUGCUAAGUGUUAGAG
rnacentral:rRNA from 1 species